CUCGGCACUGCAGGAGAGCGGGCCGUCGUCAAGACGGCCCCACCGAAGGCGCAAACUCCCAUAAACGCUCAGGUCGGCUCGCAAUGAUGAGCCUGUACUGCACCA
rnacentral:ncRNA from 2 species